rnacentral:rRNA from 1 species
CAAACGACUCUCGGCAACGGAUAUCUCGGCUCUCGCAUCGAUGAAGAACGUAGCGAAAUGCGAUACUUGGUGUGAAUUGCAGAAUCCCGUGAACCAUCGAGUUUUUGAACGCAAGUUGCGCCCGAAGCCAUUUUGCUGAGGGCACGUCUGCCUGGGCGUCACAC